ACACUCACACAUAGACACGCGCGCACACGCACAUACACAUGCACACGUUUUCUCGCUCGCUCUCUCGCUCGGUUCUCCUUUGUUUAUUUCCUAAUCUGUAUUUUUGUUGGAAGAUCUCCGUUCCACUCUCUCCUGCCCGCUGGCGAGCGCGGCCGCGGGCUGACCAGGCGCACAGCGCUCCCCUUCGUCACCCCAGCUCUCCUCUCGGUCUCCCCAAGCGCGAGCGCGGGGUUUGAAGGUCACCUCCUUUCCAGUCCCCGUGCGAGCCGCGCCGCCGCCGCCUCCAGCUGGAGCGGGUGGCCCAGGCGGCGCUGCCCUGAAGUGGCUCUCGCGGCGGCCGGCUGCUGCCGCGCGGACAGAGCCCGGGGUCUGCACGGCGGGGGAACCUGAACUCGCGGAGGGGAAUCCCUGGGUGCACCCGUGGUGGGGCAGGGGCGCUCUGCCAGCCCCGGGGACAGCAGAGGCGGCUGCGGCCGGACCCACGCGUGCGCCUCCCGGACGGGAGGAGGACGGAACGCGCGAGGCUCCCCGCAUCUGGAGGGGACAGCCGUGCGCCCCGCCCCUGCGUCCGGAGUGAGAGAACUCUGAGCCUCUGACCCAGGCUGGGCGCGGAGGAGCCUUGCGCUCCCGUCGUCCUGGAAGUGGCCGUUAGGACCCAGGCUGUCCGAGCCCGCGCCUUGCCCAGCUGUGCCCAGCCCGUUGCCCAGGCAGGGGCGCCAGGGCGGGGCUGACCUGCCAGCGAAGUUGCGGACAGCGUGGGAGAAAUCGGCACCCCCUUCCGUCGCCUCCGGCUCAUGGUGAGUGUGACUGGGGGUGCGGAGAGCGCUGGGGACUUGGAGGGUCUGGGGACGAGAGCAGAAGGCGACUGGAGCUGGGCUCGUCGGGAGUUCUAGGAAACUGCUCAAAGAACUCAUGCCAGUGGGACUUACAGCUUCCUUGAUCGGGCUCAGCAUUCAUGCUAUCCAAAAGACCUCUCCGUUGUGGUGGGAAUCUUCCUUAUCCGUACUGUCCAGCAUGGUAACCACUGGUCAGAUCCUGCCACUGAGCACUUGAAAUGUGGCCACUGUAACCAAGGAACUACAUUUAUCAUUUUGUUUAUUUUUAGAUAUUCUGAAUUUAAACAGUGUCAUGUGGCUAGUAAUAAUGUAUCACAUUGGACAGAACAGCUCGAGACCGGCAGCCCUGUGAAUGUAAGGGGCCGGUUCUGAAAUUUCCAUUCCUGCAUUCAGGCUACACUCAGCUGGUAAAUACCAGUGUGGACAUUGUUUGGUAGAUUGCUGCUGUCCCAAGGCCCCAAGCACCUUUUUUCCCUGUGAUUCCAUAUGAAUUAUGCCCCUACAUGAACCCUUGAUCCAGAAUGAAAGAGUUAAUGACCCUC